GGCCCUAAAAACCAAAAAAAAAAAAAAAAAAAAAAAAAAAAGAACAAUGUGAUGGGCACUGGUGCAUCUCAAUGGAAGUGUACAGAAAAUGGAAGUUAAUAGUCUAGGAGCUCUUUUGGUAUUUCUACCAGAAAGAAUGAGCAAAUCUGAUGAUGUAAAGGCAGGCUCAUUCCUCCUUCCCUGUCCUUCUGAACAAUCCAGUCCAAAGGCCAUUAGAUAGGAGAGGAAGGUGGGCAUUGAGUAAACAGAGGAGGAGUGCUGAGGUGGCUCAGGCAGGAUGUUGGAGCCCAAGUUGGGUGAAGAGAUUAUCUGCACAGUCAUAGGUAUUGAAGCCAGAGAGGGGUGAAGAGGAUGUCUACACGGGGGGCAGGGAGGACAGUAAAAGCAAUGAGCAGUUAUUAUGAGCCCACUGAGUGCCCUUGUGUUGUUUUCUAAAUACCACGUUUCACCAGAAAAAACCAGGGCUCCUUGGAGAAGUGGCUGCUUCCAGAGCUAGUGCAGGGAAAGUACAAGAUGAACCUGGAACAUAAUAUUGUGCCCCAAAGUAAGAAGGUACUCAAAGAAUGAUGGAAUAUGUCAAAAGAGCAUGGAUGUUGGCUUAAAGGUUGCCCACUGGCCAAAUCAAGGAUAUUUUGAGCUAAAAAAAGUAACAGGUUGUAACCUCAUGAAUAAAACAGGAAUCUGUGAGUCUAUAUUCAAACAAAUAACUGGAAUUUUUCUUGAGCAAUGUGAUAGUUACAUGGUCUCAUAGUGCCUUCUUAUGAAAUAAUUUACCCCAAAAGAGUAAUUUACAUGGGUGGGUCUGCCAGGUUUCUCCAGUGACCGGUAAUGGAACACAUCAAAAUUAUGUGCUAUCUUGUAAGAGCAGUGAGAAGAACACAGCAUCACUUCUGUGAUAUUCCUGCCAAAAAAGUGCAACCCAAAUCUAAUCAGGAGUCUGCAUCUGAAAACCUGAAAUCAAAGGGCCAUUCUUUUUUUUUUUUUUUUUUUCUAUCUUUUUGCCAUUUCUUGGGCCGCUCCCGCGGCAUAUGGAGGUUGCAGACAUGGUUGGAUCUGGUAUUGCUGUGUCUGAGGCUGUGGCUGGCAGCUAUAGCUCCAAUUCGACCUUACCCUGGGAACCUCCAUCUGUCACAGGUGUGGCCCUAAAAAAAAAAAAAAAAAAGGAAAAACAAAACAAAAACAAAAAAACCAAAAAAAACAACUAAGCUAUAAUCUUAAAAAAAAUUGCCAAGGUUGUAAAAGUGAAGGAUGAUUUAGAAGUGGUUGCACAUUGAAGGAGACUAAAGAGCCAUGACAAUUAAUGCAACCUGUGGUUCUGAACUGGUUCCUUUUGCUAGAAAACACAUGACUGGAACAAAUGGGUAAA